rnacentral:rRNA from 1 species
UGCAAGUCGAGCGCGGGAAGCGAGCUGAUCCCUUCGGGGUGACGCUCGUGGAACGAGCGGCGGACGGGUGAGUAACACGUGGGCAACCUGCCUGUAAGAUCGGGAUAACUCCGGGAAACCGGGGCUAAUACCGGGUAAUACUUUCUUUCGCAUGAAGGAAAGUUGAAAGAUGGCUUCUCGCUAUCACUUACAGAUGGGCCCGCGGCGCAUUAGCUAGUUGGUGAGGUAACGGCUCACCAAGGCGACGAUGCGUAGCCGACCUGAGAGGGUGAUCGGCCACACUGGGACUGAGACACGGCCCAGACUCCUACGGGAGGCAGCAGUAGGGAAUCUUCCGCAAUGGACGAAAGUCUGACGGAGCAACGCCGCGUGAACGAUGAAGGUCUUCGGAUCGUAAAGUUCUGUUGUUAGGGAAGAACAAGUACCGUGCGAAUAGAGCGGUACCUUGACGGUACCUAACGAGGAAGCCCCGGCUAACUACGUGCCAGCAGCCGCGGUAAUACGUAGGGGGCAAGCGUUGUCCGGAAUUAUUGGGCGUAAAGCGCGCGCAGGCGGUUCCUUAAGUCUGAUGUGAAAGCCCACGGCUCAACCGUGGAGGGUCAUUGGAAACUGGGGAACUUGAGGACAGAAGAGGAGAGUGGAAUUCCACGUGUAGCGGUGAAAUGCGUAGAUAUGUGGAGGAACACCAGUGGCGAAGGCGACUCUCUGGUCUGUUUCUGACGCUGAGGUGCGAAAGCGUGGGUAGCAAACAGGAUUAGAUACCCUGGUAGUCCACGCCGUAAACGAUGAGUGCUAGGUGUUAGGGGGCUUCCACCCCUUAGUGCUGAAGUUAACGCCAUUAAGCACUCCGCCUGGGGAGUACGCCGCAAGCUGAAACUCAAGUAUUGACGGGGGCCCGCACAAGCCGUGGAGCAUGUGGUUUAUUCGAGCACCGCGAAG